rnacentral:misc_RNA from 1 species
GAAGAACCAGCACGGCCGGGGAUUUGCUGCAUUCCGCCAUAACUUCGAGAAUGAAUUUGUUUUGUCGAAAGCUGCGCCCGCGCACUCGAUGCUUUUCUCCUGGAGAUGAAGGCCCGUACUCCCUGUGCCGAGGAGUCCCGGGAGCGUAACGUAAGGCAAUCAAUAGUUUUGAUUGCUCUUUUUUUCGAUUGAGCUUUGAUACAUUUAGUGUAUCUCUCAGUUGGUGCGCUGCAAUUGAGACACUGCUCUUCAGGGCGCUUAGGUGGACAAUUCCUAAACCCAGUUUCUGGGGGGCAACUAUGGGAACGAGACUAAGUCCCCCCUUACUCUAGCCUUCCUUUUCGAAGAUGAGAGCAGAAGAACUUCGUAACGGCGGAGAAGGGUUUCGCCUCGAAUCCAAACGAUUUAUUGUUUUUCUUCUCUUAAGAUAUUUCUAGUUAGAGCUUGAUCGAGGGAUCAAUUGACU